rnacentral:rRNA from 1 species
GAUGAAUGCUGGCGGCGUGCUUAACACAUGCAAGUCGAGCGGCAGCGCGAGUAGUUUACUACUUGGCGGCGAGCGGCGGACGGCUGAGUAACGCGUAGGAACGUGCCCCAAAGUGAGGAAUAACUGCCCGAAAGGGUGGCUAAUGCCGCAUAUGAUCUUCGGAUUAAAGGAUUUAUCCGCUUUGGGAGCGGCCUGCGUAUGAUUAGGUAGUUGGUGAGGUAAUGGCUCACCAAGCCGACGAUCAUUAGCUGGUCUGAGAGGAUGACCAGCCAGACUGGAACUGAGACACGGUCCAGACUCCUACGGGAGGCAGCAGUGAGGAAUCUUCCACAAUGGGCGAAAGCCUGAUGGAGCAACGCCGCGUGCAGGAUGAAGGCCUUCGGGUUGUAAACUGCUUUUAUAAGUGAAGAAUAUGACGGUAACUUAUGAAUAAGCACCGGCUAACUACGUGCCAGCAGCCGCCGCGG